rnacentral:ncRNA from 1 species
GCACUGAAUGGGCUAGGGGGCUUAGAGCUUACCAAACCCAAUCAAACUCCGAAUGCCGUUGUUCCAGAUCGCAGUAGUCGGACUACGGGAGAUGAGUUUCGUGGUCGAAAGGGAAACAGCCCAGAUCAUCAGCUAAGGUCCCCAAGUUUAGACUAAGUGGGAAACGAUGUGGAGUUACAAAAACAACCAGGAGGUUGGCUUAGAAGCAGCCACCCUUUAAAGAGUGCGUAAUAGCUCACUGGUCAAGUGAUUCUGCGCGGAAAAUAUAACGGGGCUAAGUCUAACACCGAAGCUAUGGAUUGUGUCGAAAGACACAGUGGUAGGGGAGCGUUCUGUACAGCGGAGAAGGUCGACUGAGAAGACGGCUGGAGCGUACAGAAGUGAGAAUGCAGGCAUGAGUAGCGUAAAACACGUGAGAACC